CAGCAAAAUUGUGGACUGUGGGGAUAACAGAGGGAGUCACCGGAUGGACAUGAAUUUCUUAAGAGGUAGAGAGGAUGCGCGGUGGCGGAGAAUUGCUGUCCAAAAAGCUUGGUUCGGUCAUCUAAUAUCUUCUCAACUGACAAAAUGUUUGCUGUUCACAUGGGGCAUUCUCCAACCACUGACUGAGAACAACAAUCGGCAGGUCUCAAGCCUUUCAAAACAGAAUGCUCUCUCAGACUGUGUAAUAGCAGUGUUAUAGAACUGCAGGGCCAUUUGGACCUCCAAAGCCAGGUGUUAGCACUUCAGCUCUCUGCUUCAUCAAUAAUUGACAGAGGCAAACCAAUCAGAACAAUUUGCUCCCCACAGCGAAGUGCUAGAGCAGCCUAACACCAGUGAAUCAUUAAUGAGGCAAUUAGAUGAAAUGGUUAGACGCUUAGCCCUCAGUAGCAAAACUCCUAUGACUUCACUGCGAUUGUUUGGCUUAAACAGAAGCUGCAUAUGAUGAAGUAAUGUACAGGCCAAAACACACAAGAAGAGAGACAGAAUACAACCACACAGCUGUGCCUAGAUACAGAGCUGUUUUCUAAAGGCUGGUAAGCAACUUGGUGCAGUGAUGCCAGCCCUCCAUCUGUUGACCACAACUCAGAGGACCAAUAAUGGGAACAAACCCAAUUGGCCAUUACAAUGGGAGAUUGACCUUUAUUGGUUGUUGUUACCACUGCACGGACUGACAGAAGCUGUCUCCCGGGUGGCUCAAGUGUGGGAGAGCCUUUAUGGACAUGGAUGAAAUCGACCUGGGUGACAUCACUCAAACAUGGGGAAAGGAACAACAAUAAUGGAGAAAACAGGGUUUGCCUUUGAUGAACAGAAAUCCUGGAUUGUUGUUUGAGAAAGAAUUCAAAGCCCUGUGGGAGCUGCUCACAAAGCCUCAUUGAUUGGUUAUAUUGGAACCAUUUCAUAGUUUAUCAAUGCUCAUCUGCCUGUUCUCCUAGGCCCAGGUCCAGUACAGGCUCAAUUAAACCAGCCACCUUGAUCUUAGGAA